UAUCAAAUGGAGAAUUUGUCUGUGAGCAGUCUGUGCUGUAGUCAUCCAUAGUCUCUUUUUUAAACAUAUAUUUUUUUUAUUAGAAUGUUAUAUACUAAUUUAUAUCUUGUACUUGUAAAACCAAAUCACUCAUUUGAUUACUGAUUUUUUUAUAUAACACUGUGAUUACAUAAUCUUGACAAUUUAUAGUAAUUUUUAUUAUGCAAAGGCUACUUAAAGUUCAUUCAUUGACAAAAACAUGUAGGGUAAAAAUGUGAUAAUAGUAAUCUUUCCUGUUGUGUGUAACUUUCAGAUGGUGUUAAAUUUUUUUGAUUAACCAAUU
rnacentral:misc_RNA from 1 species